CUUUAAUAAUUUUGUUGCUAGAAGAUCCUUCUCUGGCCUUUUAAUCCAUUCAAAAAAGAACUUUUUUGUAAUACUGUCACUAUCUUCCAAGAAAAAUUCAUCCUUCAAUGCUUGAAAAAAUUUCUCCCAUGAAACUCUAAAUUGUCCUAUAAGAGACUUUACUUGAUUUCUUAUCUCUAGUGCAGAGGCUAAUUCAAAUAAUUGAACCAUCUUCUUUUUUGAAACAUGCUUCAAUUCCAUUUCUUUUACAUAACAUCUUAAAUAUUUUGUAAUAUCCUUUUCUUUAAAUUAAUCAAUCUUGUCCAUAAUUGCUUGUAAUGCUUUGUUUGUUAUAUCUUCUUUGUGAUCUUUAACUUAUUGUUGUUGCAUAAAUAAGGCAAAAGCCUCAAACAUACUUGCAGAGUUAGGAU
rnacentral:lncRNA from 1 species